rnacentral:rRNA from 1 species
GAUGAACGCUGGCGGCGUGCCUAAUACAUGCAAGUCGAGCGAACAGACGAGGAGCUUGCUCCUCUGACGUUAGCGGCGGACGGGUGAGUAACACGUGGAUAACCUACCUAUAAGACUGGGAUAACUUCGGGAAACCGGAGCUAAUACCGGAUAAUAUAUUGAACCGCAUGGUUCAAUAGUGAAAGACGGUUUUGCUGUCACUUAUAGAUGGAUCUGCGCCGCAUUAGCUAGUUGGUAAGGUAACGGCUUACCAAGGCAACGAUGCGUAGCCGACCUGAGAGGGUGAUCGGCCACACUGGAACUGAGACACGGUCCAGACUCCUACGGGAGGCAGCAGUAGGGAAUCUGCCGCAAUGGGCGAAAGCCUGGCGGAGCAACGCCGCGUGAGUGAUGAAGGUCUUCGGAUCGUAAAACUCUGUUAUUAGGGAAGAACAAAUGUGUAAGUAACUAUGCACGUCUUGACGGUACCUAAUCAGAAAGCCACGGCUAACUACGUG